ACUGCCUACAGUCACAUUGGAAUGGUAGAAGAAGCAUACCGUUGUUUUAUUUCCUUACAGAAGUAUGGUCUUUCUCCCUCAGUUGACCAUUACGCUAUAGUAGUUGACCUUUUAAGUAGGGCAGGGCGGUUAGAAGAAGCACAUGGGUUGAUUAAAAGCAUGUCAAUACAGCCUCAUGCUGGUGUGUGGGGUGCAUUGCUUCUUGGUUGCAGUUUGCAUAACAAUUUAGAGCUUGGAGAGAUCGCAGCGACACGUUGUAUAGAGUUGGAACCUGACAGUUCUGGAUAUCUUUCUCUUCUUGCAAAUAUUUAUGCUUCUUCGGGAAGGUGGGAUGAUGCUGAGAGGUUGAGAAAAGGUGUUGAAGAAAAGGGAUACAACAAAUUGCCUGGUUGCAGUUGGAUGGAAGAAGUAAA
rnacentral:misc_RNA from 1 species